GGGCCAGAUCAUGAUUUGGAGGAUGUGUUUGAGAACCUCAAGCUGCAAGGAGAAGAGGAGGAGGAUCUAGACUUGUCAGGUGAAUUUGCUGAGCUAAUUCAGGACGUGCGUUGGAUGGCUCUGUUUAGGGUUCAUACCUUGCGGCCGUUCAGCCACGCUUCUGUGCUGAAUUCUAUGAGGAAUGUGUGGGCUUGUGCACAAGGGGUCACUUUUAAUAUCAAGGGACCUAAUCUGUUCUUGGUUCAAUGCCAUUGCUUGGGGGAUUGGAAGAGAGUUAUGGAAGGGGGGCCAUGGCAGUUCAGGAGGGACCCGGUGGUGCUGGUAGAAUAUGAUGGCUUCUCGAAUGUGGAAGAAUAUGAACUGAAUAUGUACCCAUUGUGGGUUAGAAUCAAGGGCUUGCCAGACGGACUAACGAGUAAGAAAGAGUUGGCCGAGAAGGUAGCAAAGAAAGUAGGAGAACCUCCUUUUACUGUAAUGGUGAAUGAAGGGAGGAUUAACCCUUCAAAUUUUUUGAGGGUUCGUGUGUUUGUGAACGUUUCAGUGCCAUUGGUAAGGUUUGUCCAUAUUACCUUGAAAUAG
rnacentral:rRNA from 1 species